rfam:Dictyocaulus viviparus strain HannoverDv2000 D_viviparus-1.0_Cont310.16, whole genome shotgun sequence.
GCCUCUGUACUAUAAUGGAUCAGCAUGGCAGACCGGACAUCUGAAAGUGCGGGUUCUAGUCCCGCCUGAGGUU